AAGUGGAAACCCUUGAACCAUUUAUUAAUAAGUUUCAAAAAUUAAUAACCUGUGAAAGUGAAUCUUAAUGUAAAGGGAACACAUGUGAAUCAUGUAUUUAUUAAAGGUGCCGUAGAAUGGAAAAUUGAAUUUACCUUGGCAUAGUUGAAUAACAAGAGUACAUGGAAAUGACAUACAGUGAGUCUCAAACACCAUUGUUUCCUAAUAUAACGGGAUCAUUAAUAUGCACGCUCCUAAUAUUUGCAAAUGCAAUUAGUUUGUAUAUUAUAUGUAUAAUCGCUGUGUUAGUUUGUAUUUAUAUUAAACAAAUAACCGCUCCGGCGCUCCCGCUUCUGUCGUUUAACGUUACUGUGUGGAUGGCCAUCAUUAAUAAAUGGUUCACAGGUUUCCACUUUACAUUAAGGUUCCCUUUCACGGUUUAUUAAUGUUUAUAAGUCAUUAAUAAAUGGUUCACAGGUUUCCACUUUACAUUAAGGUUCACUUUCAUAGGCUAUUAAUGUUUAUAAGUCAUUAAUAAAUGGUUCACAGGUUUCCGCUUUACAUUAAGGUUCACUUUCACAGGUUAUUAAUGUUUAUAACUCAUUAAUAAAUGGUUCACAUGUGUUCACUUUACAUUAAGGUUCACUUCCACAGGUUAUUAAUGUUCAUAAGUCAUUAAUAAAUGGUUCACAGGUUUCCACUUUACAUUAAGGUUCACUUUCACGGUUUGUUAAUGUUUAUAAGUCAUUAAUAAAUGGUUCACAGGUUUCCACUUUACAUUAAGGUUCACUUUCACAGGUUUAUUAAUGUUUAUAACUCAUUAAUAAAUGAUUGACAGGUUUCCACUUUACAUUAAGGUUCACUUUCAUAGGUUAUUCAUGUUUAUAAGUCAUUAAUAAAUGGUUCACAGUUUUCCACUUUACAUUAAGGUUCACUUUCACAGGUUAUUUAUGUUUAUAAGUCAUUAAUAAAUGGUUCACAGGUUUCCACUUUACAUUAAGGUUCACUUUCACAGGUUAUUAAUGUUUAUAACUCAUUAAUAAAUAGUUCACAGGUUUCCACUUUACAUUAAGGUUCACUUUCAUAGGUUAUUAAUGUUUAUAACUCAUUAAUAAAUGGUUCACAGGUUUCCACUUUACAUUAAGGUUCACUUUCACAGGUUAUUAAUGUUUAUAACUCAUUAAUAAAUAGUUCACAGGUUUCCACUUUACAUUAAGGUUCACUUUCAUAGGCUAUUAAUGUUUAUAAGUCAUUAAUAAAUGGUUCACAGGUUUCCACUUUACAUUAAGGUUCACUUUCAUAGGCUAUUAAUGUUUAUAAGUCAUUAAUAAAUGGUUCACAGGUUUCCGCUUUACAUUAAGGUUCACUUUCACAGGUUAUUAAUGUUUAUAACUCAUUAAUAAAUGGUUCACAUGUGUUCACUUUACAUUAAGGUUCACUUCCACAGGUUAUUAAUGUUCAUAAGUCAUUAAUAAAUGGUUCACAGGUUUCCACUUUACAUUAAGGUUCACUUUCACGGUUUGUUAAUGUUUAUAAGUCAUUAAUAAAUGGUUCACAGGUUUCCACUUUACAUUAAGGUUCACUUUCACAGGUUUAUUAAUGUUUAUAACUCAUUAAUAAAUGAUUGACAGGUUUCCACUUUACAUUAAGGUUCACUUUCAUAGGUUAUUCAUGUUUAUAAGUCAUUAAUAAAUGGUUCACAGGUUUCCACUUUACAUUAAGGUUCACUUUCACAGGUUAUUUAUGUUUAUAAGUCAUUAAUAAAUGGUUCACAGGUUUCCACUUUACAUUAAGGUUCACUUUCACAGGUUAUUAAUGUUUAUAACUCAUUAAUAAAUAGUUCACAGGUUUCCACUUUACAUUAAGGUUCACUUUCAUAGGUUAUUAAUGUUUAUAACUCAUUAAUAAAUGGUUCACAGGUUUCCACUUUACAUUAAGGUUCACUUUCACAGGUUAUUAAUGUUUAUAACUCAUGAAUAAAAUGGUUCACAAGUGUCCAUCCUACAUUAGGGUUCAUAAGUAACUAAUACUGGGAUUACAUUUUUCAUCAAGUUAUGGUUAUCUUUUUUUUUUUUUUUUUUU